GACGAACGCUGGCGGCGUGCCUAACACAUGCAAGUCGAACGGAGUUGAUUCUUCGGAAUUUACUUAGUGGCGAACGGGUGAGUAACGCGUGAGAAACCUGCCUUUCAGUGGGGGACAACAGUUGGAAACGACUGCUAAUACCGCGUAAUGUUAUUUGGGGGCAUCCCUGGAUAACCAAAGCUUUAUGUGCUGAAAGAUGGUCUCGCGUCUGAUUAGCUAGAUGGCGGGGUAACGGCCCACCAUGGCGACGAUCAGUAGCCGGUCUGAGAGGAUGAACGGCCACAUUGGGACUGAGAUACGGCCCAGACCCCUACGGGAGGCAGCAGUGGGGAAUAUUGGGCAAUGGGGGAAACCCUGACCCAGCAACGCCGCGUGAAGGAAGAAGGCCUUCGGGUUGUAAACUUCUUUUACCAGGGACGAAGAACGUGACGGUACCUGGAGAAAAAGCAACGGCUAACUACGUGCCAGCCGCCGCGGUAAAAC
rnacentral:rRNA from 1 species